rnacentral:rRNA from 1 species
CCUUUGACGUUAGCGGCGGACGGGUGAGUAACACGUGGGUAACCUACCUAUAAGACUGGGAUAACUUCGGGAAACCGGAGCUAAUACCGGAUAAUAUUUCGAACCGCAUGGUUCUAUAGUGAAAGGUGGUUUUGCUAUCACUUAUAGAUGGACCCGCGCCGUAUUAGCUAGUUGGUAAGGUAACGGCUUACCAAGGCGACGAUACGUAGCCGACCUGAGAGGGUGAUCGGCCACACUGGAACUGAGACACGGUCCAGACUCCUACGGGAGGCAGCAGCC